rnacentral:rRNA from 1 species
GAUGAACGCUGGCGGCGUGCCUAAUACAUGCCAGUCGAGCGAACGGACGAGGCGCUUGUUUCUCUGAUGUUAGCGGCGGACGGGUGAGUAACACGUGGAUAACCUACCUAUAAGACGGGGAUAACUUCGGGAAACCGUAGCUAAUACCGGAUAAUAUCUUGAACCACAUGGUUCAAAAGUGAAAGACGGUGUUGCUGUCACUAAUCGAUGGAUCUGCGCUUCAUUGGCUGGUUGUUACGGUAACGGGUUACGAAGGCAACGAUGCAUAGCCGACCGGAGAGGGUGAUAGCCCACCUGGGAACUGAGACAGGGUCCAUAGUCCUGCGGGAGGCACCAGAAGGCAAUCUGCCGCAAUGGGCGAAAACCUGACAGAGCAACGCGGAGUCAGUGAUGAAGGUCUUCGGAUCGUAAAACUCGGUUAUUAGGGAAGAACAUAUGUGGAAGUAAAUGUGCACAUAGUGACGGUAACUAAUCAGAAAGCAACGGCUAACUACGUG